GACGAACGCUGGCGGCGUGCUUAACACAUGCAAGUCGAACGGAAAGGCCCUGCUCUUGUGGGGUGCUCGAGUGGCGAACGGGUGAGUAUCACGUGAGUAACCUGCCCUUGACUUUGGGAUAACUUCAGGAAACUGGGGCUAAUACCGGAUAUUAGCUCCUGCUGCAUGGUGGUGGUUGGAAAGUUUCGGCGGUUGGGGAUGGACUCGCGGCUUAUCAGCUUGUUGGUGAGGUAGUGGCUUACCCAGGCUUUGACGGGUAGCCGGCCUGAGAGGGUGACCGGCCACAUUGGGACUGAGAUACGGCCCAGACUCCUACGGGAGGCAGCAGUGGGGAAUAUUGCAGAAUGGGCGGAAGCCUGAUGCAGCAACGCCGCGUGCGGGAUGACGGCCUUCGGGUUGUAAACCGCUUUCGCCUGUGACGAAGCGUGAGUGACGGUAAUGGGUAAAGAAGCACCGGCUAACUACGUG
rnacentral:rRNA from 1 species